GUGUUCUCCAGCCAUCCGAACUCCGAAGACAAGAAGGGUGGGGAAGGGGGUCGAGAGAGUUCCUCACUUAGUGAAGAUGAAGAAGGAUGGGGGCAGCAGGGUCUGCCACGUGCUCACGUUAGCGACGAGCCGACGAUGCCCUCAUUGCCGGAGAGGAGGAAGGCUUUGUCCAUUGCGAAGGGCUCCCGGUCGGAUCGACGCCUCCGUGCCGCGGUUGGCGAGCACGGCCGCAAACAACAUGAGGCGGCAGCGAGCGAUGGGAGAGAGCCUGGAGUGGGGAGAUCUCGCUCGCCGGGACUACCACCUGACGGCGAGCAUGGUCUUGAACACCAUGAGGUGGUCGGCAUCCAUGGGACAAAGCAUGUGCGUGGUGGCCUGGUGUGUCGUCGAGAGAGGGAG
rnacentral:misc_RNA from 1 species